rnacentral:rRNA from 1 species
CCGGCUUUCAUGGCUUGACGGGCGGUGUGUACAAGGCCCGGGAACGUAUUCACCGCGCCAUGGCUGAUGCGCGAUUACUAGCGAAUCCAGCUUCACGAAGUCGGGUUGCAGACUUCGAUCCGAACUGAGAGAGGCUUUUGGGAUUAGCAUCCUGUCACCAGGUAGCUGCCUUCUGUACCCCCCAUUGUAACACGUGUGUAGCCCCGGACGUAAGGGCCGUGCUGAUUUGACGUCAUCCCCACCUUCCUCACAUCUUACGACGGCAGUCUCUCUAGAGUCCUCAGCAUGACCUGUUAGUAACUAAAGAUAAGGGUUGCGCUCGUUAUGGCACUUAAGCCGACACCUCACGGCACGAGCUGACGACAACCAUGCAGCACCUUCACAUUUGCCUUACGGCUAUACUGUUUCCAAUAUAUUCAAAUGCAAUUUAAGCCCGGGUAAGGUUCCUCGCGUAUCAUCGAAUUAAACCACAUGUUCCUCCGCUUGUGCGGGCCCCCGUCAAUUCCUUUGAGUUUCACCGUUGCCGGCGUACUCCCCAGGUGGAAUACUUAAUGCUUUCGCUUGGCCGCUUACUGUAUAUCGCAAACAGCGAGUAUUCAUCGUUUACUGUGUGGACUACCAGGGUAUCUAAUCCUGUUUGAUACCCACACUUUCGAGCAUCAGUGUCAGUUGCAGUCCAGUGAGCUGCCUUCGCAAUCGGAGUUCUUCGUGAUAUCUAAGCAUUUCACCGCUACACCACGAAUUCCGCCCACCUCUACUGUACUCAAGACAGCCAGUAUCAACUGCAAUUUUACGGUUGAGCCGCAAACUUUCACAACUGACUUAACUGUCCACCUACGCUCCCUUUAAACCCAAUAAAUCCGGAUAACGCUCGGAUCCUCCGUAUUACCGCGGCUGCUGGCACGGAGUUAGCCGAUCCUUAUUCAUAUGGUACAUACAAAAUUCCACACGUGGAAAACUUUAUUCCCAUAUAAAAGAAGUUUACAACCCAUAGGGCAGUCAUCCUUCACGCUACUUGGCUGGUUCAGGCCUGCGCCCAUUGACCAAUAUUCCUCACUGCUGCCUCCCGUAGGAGUUUGGACCGUGUCUCAGUUCCAAUGUGGGGGACCUUCCUCUCAGAACCCCUAUCCAUCGAAGGUUUGGUGAGCCGUUACCUCACCAACUGCCUAAUGGAACGCAUCCCCAUCGAUAACCGAAAUUCUUUAAUAACAAGACCAUGCGGUCUGAUUAUACCAUCGGGUA